AAGUGCAAUGGCUAAUUCAUAAACAUGUAUAUGUUGUUUUGUCUUAUUAAUGCACUUUUUUUGGGGGGGGGGGAUCUUGCUUAGCUGUGGUUUGUUCAUUUUUUUGCAUUUUUUUUAGUUUGUAUAUUAACGUUUCAAAUAAACUAACAAAGUUGAACCAAAAAGAAGUGCCGUAGCUAAGAUAAGAUGCAAGACAGCAUCUUCUGUUUGAAUGCCCUGAUUAGCUUACAUUCUGGUAAAGUUUUGCCUAAGUUACAACAGUUGGAAGAUUGAAAACGGAUGGUUUACUGCAGAUAAACAGCUGAAGAAGAAGAAAAAUGGCUUAAAAGAUUACAUCAAGGCAAGCUAACAGAAAAAAAAAAUACUCAUGCAAUUUGGCAAAUAAAACAGCCUGAAAGUAGUAAAAGCAAAAAAACAAAAGACUAUAAAAGGGAAUUGUAGAAAAACUAUUUGGAAAAUUGAAGAAGUUAACCAUCACACACCCAAGAUAUAACAAAAACCUGAAAA